rnacentral:rRNA from 1 species
AUUGAACGCUGGCGGCAGGCUUAACACAUGCAAGUCGAGCGGUAACAUUUCUAGCUUGCUAGAAGAUGACGAGCGGCGGACGGGUGAGUAAUACUUAGGAAUCUACCUAGUAGUGGGGGAUAGCUCGGGGAAACUCGAAUUAAUACCGCAUACGACCUACGGGAGAAAGGGGGCAACUUGUUGCUCUCGCUAUUAGAUGAGCCUAAGUCGGAUUAGCUAGAUGGUGGGGUAAAGGCCUACCAUGGCGACGAUCUGUAGCUGGUCUGAGAGGAUGAUCAGCCACACCGGGACUGAGACACGGCCCGGACUCCUACGGGAGGCAGCAGUGGGGAAUAUUGGACAAUGGGGGAAACCCUGAUCCAGCCAUGCCGCGUGUGUGAAGAAGGCCUUUUGGUUGUAAAGCACUUUAAGCAGUGAAGAAGACUCUUCGGUUAAUACCCGGAGACGAUGACAUUAGCUGCAGAAUAAGCACCGGCUAACUCUGUGCCAGCAGCCGCGGUAAUACAGAGGGUGCAAGCGUUAAUCGGAAUUACUGGGCGUAAAGCGAGCGUAGGUGGCUUGAUAAGUCAGAUGUGAAAUCCCCGGGCUUAACCUGGGAACUGCAUCUGAUACUGUUAGGCUAGAGUAGGUGAGAGGAAGGUAGAAUUCCAGGUGUAGCGGUGAAAUGCGUAGAGAUCUGGAGGAAUACCGAUGGCGAAGGCAGCCUUCUGGGCAUCAUACUGACACUGAGGCUCGAAAGCGUGGGUAGCAAACAGG